rnacentral:tRNA from 1 species
GGGACUAUAGUUAACAAUAACAUUUGAGUUGCAUUCAAAAAGUACUGCCUAAGCAGUUAGCCUCA